rnacentral:rRNA from 1 species
GCAGUAGCCACGGGAAUACGAAGGGGGCUAGCGUUGUUCGGAAUUACUGGGCGUAAAGCGCACGUAGGCGGAUAUUUAAGUCAGGGGUGAAAUCCCGCAGCUCAACUGCGGAACUGCCUUUGAUACUGGGUAUCUUGAGUAUGGAAGAGGUUAGUGGAAUUGCGAGUGUAGAGGUGAAAUUCGUAGAUAUUCGCAGGAACACCAGUGGCGAAGGCGGCUAACUGGUCCAUAACUGACGCUGAGGUGCGAAAGCGUGGGGAGCAGACAGGAUUAGAUACCCCAGUAGUCCCUGUCUCUUAUAC